CUAGUCAUCUUCUUCGACCUCUAGUCUCGUUUCAGCCAUCACUUGAAGAAAAUAGCCAAGUCACGAGGCCUUGUCAAAAGGCUAGACCCGAUACUGCUCCUGAUUGGUGUAAAUAUUCAUGUCUGAAUGGGACGCACCUUAAAACAUAGAUAACAACGUCAACAACAACAACAACCUGAACCCGAGGAUGGUCAUUCCUUUGUCUUUAAUCAGAGGGCGUCAUAUAUAAAAGGCGCCGAUUUAGAUUGGAUUAACAUCAUUUCAACACGGACGACGCAGACGACCAUUCGACAAACUCGAAAUGUUGGAGUGAAUUUCUAGAAUUGCGCAGGAUCGUCUCAGCCUGAACCUUCGAGGCAGUAGAGAGCACUUUCAAAAGAUCUCUUGGAAAAGAAAAUCACAAGGUUUCAUCAAACUCCUCGAUCACAAGAACGUUUUGCAGGUACGUUCCUUCAGCCUAUGAACGUACGCAUAAAUAUUUUCUGAAGGGCAAGGCGUAUAAUAACUUUCGAAAAAGAACUCAAAAGCGAGGGAGCGAAGCAACCGUGCUUGCCACGGGGGUACUAUUGCACAUUCAAAAGCGAAUUGAAAA